GACGAACCGUGCGAACGUUGUUCGGAAUCACUGGGCUUAAAGGGCGCGUAGGCGGGCUAUCAAGUCCGGGGUGAAAUCCUCCAGCUCAACUGGAGAGCGGCCUCGGAUACUGAUGGUCUCGAGGAGGAUAGGGGCACACGGAACUGUGGGUGGAGCGGUGAAAUGCGUUGAUAUCCAUAGGAACUCCGGUGGCGAAAGCGGUGUGCUGGAUCCUUUCUGACGCUGAUGCGCGAAAGCCAGGGGAGCAAACGGG
rnacentral:rRNA from 1 species